rnacentral:rRNA from 1 species
ACGUAGGUGGCGAGCGUUAUCCGGAAUUACUGGGCGUAAAGCGCACGCAGGCGGUCUUUUGGGUCUGACGUGAAAGCUCCUGGCUUAACUGGGAGAGGUCGUUGGAAACUGGGAGACUUGAGGCAAUGAGAGGGGUGUGGAAUUCCCGGUGUAGUGGUGGAAUGCGUAGAGAUCCGGAGGAACACCAGAGGCGAAGGCGACACCCUGGGCCGUACCUGACGCUAAGACGCGACAGCACGGGGAGCGAACGG